rnacentral:rRNA from 1 species
GAUAAACGCUGGCGGCGUGCCUUAUGCAUGCAAGUCGAACGCUUCACCGCAAGGUGGAGAGUGGCAAACGGGUGUGUAAUAUGUAAGUAACCUGCCCUUAAGUGGGGAACAACUCUGAGAAAUCGGGGCUAAUACCGCGUGUGAUUCUUGAUCGCAAGGUUGAGAAUUAAAGCCUUCGGGCGCUUGAGGAGGGGCUUGCAUCCUAUCAGGUAGUUGGUGAGGUAACGGCCCACCAAGCCGAUGACGGGUAGCUGGUCUGAGAGGAUGGUCAGCCACACUGGGACUGCGACACGGCCCAGACUCCUACGGGAGGCAGCAGCAAGGAAUAUUGUGCAAUGGGCGAAAGCCUGACACAGCGACGCCGCGUGAGGGAUGAAGGCCUUCGGGUUGUAAACCUCUUUUCUCAGGGAGGAGUAAGGACAGUACCUGAGGAAUAAGCCACGGCUAACUACGUGCCAGCAGCUGCGGUAAAACGUAGGUGGCGAGCGUUAUCCGGAUUUAUUGGGCGUAAAGAGGGCGCAGGCGGCCUGGUAAGUCGAAUGUGAAAUCUCCCGGCUUAACUGGGAGGGGUCAUUCGAUACUAUCAAGCUGGAGUGCGACAGGGGGAGGUAGAAUUCCCGGUGUAGUGGUGAAAUGCGUAGAUAUCGGGAGGAAUACCAGUGGCGAAGGCGGCCUCCUGGGUCGUUACUGACGCUUAAGCCCGAAGGCGUGGGGAGCAAACAGGAUCAGAUACCCUGGUAGUCCACGCUGUAAACUAUGGACACUGGGUAUGGGGAGUAUCGACCCUCUCCGUGCCGAAGUUAACGCGUUAAGUGUCCCGUCUGGGAACUACGGCCGCAAGGCUA